GAGCAUAGCUUGGGCAAAGGCACAGAAAAGUGAGAGGGCAUGUGACAUCCUGGGAAUUACAUAAAGCUCUUUUUGGCAUCUGGGAGUGAGGAAGAGGAAGGAGAGGAGGCUGGGGAGAAAGAAGUAGAUGUGCUACCAGCUGAGACUUCAGUCACAGACUUCACUUCACCGAUGCCUCAGGGAACAUGGAGCUUCAGGGAAGAGCUCAGAGCCCUGAGGAACCCUGAGGAGCCCAUGGGGCAGGGGCAGGGGCAGGGAGGAGGAGGAGACCGCAGGAGACCGAAAAGCAUCAACUCGAGAGGAGGAGGAAACUAGAAUUGAGGGUUUCCAGGAGGAGAAGAAAGCAAGACCCAUUCUCCCCAUCCUAAAAGGCCCACAUCCAACAUCACAUUCUCCAGGAAGCUGCCCCUGCUGCCCCCGCCUUCCUCUGAGUGCCCUCCACUGGUCCCAUGGCUCUGUAACAACGACAGUUGGUUCCUGUUCGUGCUCCACAUUUCAGUAAAUCAUGAGGCCUGGGAGUACAGUUGACUCCUGUCUGCCUCCUCAACCAUGCCUGGAACAGAGGAUGGAUGCACUCCCAUGCGGCUCAGAGAGGAAUAAAGAUAUAGAAGAUGGCCAGCACCCGGGUCCGCUGGUCCCUCACGAAGAGGUCGCCCAGGAUGGUGGGCGCGAUGGUGGAG